UACGUAGGGUGCAAGCGUUGUCCGGAAUUAUUGGGCGUAAAGAGCUCGUAGGCGGUUUGUCGCGUCUGCUGUGAAAACUCGGGGCUUAACUCCGGGCCUGCAGUGGGUACGGGCAGACUAGAGUGCGGUAGGGGAGACUGGAAUUCCUGGUGUAGCGGUGAAAUGCGCAGAUAUCGGGAGGAACACCAGUAGCGAAGGCGGCACUCUGGGCCGUGACUGACGCUGAGGAGCGGAAAGCGUGGGUAGCAAACAGG
rnacentral:rRNA from 1 species